AGGACGAACGCUGGCGGCGUGCCUAACACAUGCAAGUCGAACGAGGUCCAUCCGGUAGCAAUACCGGUGAAGAUCAAGUGGCGAACGGGUGAGUAGCACGUGAGCAACCUGCCCCGAAGACCGGGACAACACCGGGAAACCGGUGCUAAUACCGGAUGUCCCCACCGAGUCGCAUGGCUUGGUGAGGAAAUGGAUUCCGCUUCGGGAGGGGCUCGCGGCCUAUCAGCUUGUUGGUGAGGUAAUGGCUCACCAAGGCUUCGACGGGUAGCUGGUCUGAGAGGACGAUCAGCCACACUGGGACUGAGACACGGCCCAGACUCCUACGGGAGGCAGCAGUGGGGAAUCUUGCACAAUGGGCGAAAGCCUGAUGCAGCAACGCCGCGUGAGGGACGAAGGCUUUCUGAGUUGUAAACCUCUUUCAGCAGGGACGAUUGUGACGGUACCUGCAGAAGAAGCCCGGCCAACUACGUGCCAGCAGCCGCGGUAAU
rnacentral:rRNA from 1 species